rnacentral:rRNA from 1 species
UACGGGGGGAGCAAGCGUUGUUCGGAUUUACUGUGCGUAAAGGGCGCGUAGGCGGUCAGCACAAGUCAGUUGUGAAAUCUCCGGGCUUAACCCGGAAAGGUCAACUGAUACUGUGCGACUAGAGUGCGGAAGGGGCAACUGGAAUUCUCGGUGUAGCGGUGAAAUGCGUAGAUAUCGAGAGGAACACCUGCGGCGAAGGCGGGUAGCUGGGCCGACACUGACGCUGAUGCGCGAAAGCCAGGGGAGCGAACGGG